rnacentral:lncRNA from 1 species
UUAAUCUUUAGAACAGUGUGAUUAGGAAUUUUCAUUCACAGAUAAGGGGAUAAGCAGCUCUGAGAGAUGGCAUACCUUGUCUGUUGUACCACAGUAUUAAAUGCUGAAGCGGGGGCUUGAGUUCAGUUGGUCUGACUGCAAAGCCUGCAUUCCUCUCUGUUCCUGCUAUACACUUGCACAGGCGUUAAGACUGAAAUCUGCCCCUGCAGAGGUGUGUGCACGAGGAACAAGGCUUCUCUCUUCAUGGAGCUUAUUUUCUGGAUCAGUGUGAGAUGCUUCUUAGAGCUUGUGUAUUUAGGGUAUUCUAACCACAGAUCUAUAGGGGAAGGGGUUUUGUUCAACUCCCUUUGGAACAGUUUCUCCAUCCUUGACGCUGUUGAUUUUGGACUGGAUAUUUCUUUGUUGUGAUUCUCUGUCCUGUGCAUUACGAGGUCAUUAGCAGCAUCCCUGGGUUUCACAUGCUAGAUGCUGGUGGCGCCCCCCAUUGUGACACAGAUGGUGUCAGAUGUGCCCUGGCAAAAUAACCCUUGAUUGAGAAUACGGGGGGUUGAUGACCCCGUUUGAAGGAAUGGAGGCGACUCCGUCUGGAAGUGUGCAGCCAGGCUGCUGCACGUGUUCAAGAGGCAACAGAGGACUCAUCCAGAUCAUUUCACUUACAGAUACCCGCUUGCUUCUGCAGAUCAGCGUGCACGCAAAGGCCCUGGGAGGUAUCGUUCGGCUGUUUUAGGAUAGCGUGAAUGUUGUUCUGUUUGAGGAGUUUCCAGAUGUAUGGAACUUUUCAUAUUCCCGAUGUAUGGAACUUC